rnacentral:rRNA from 1 species
GACGAACGCUGGCGGCGUGCCUAAUACAUGCAAGUAGAACGCACAGUUUAUACCGUAGCUUGCUACACCAUAAACUGUGAGUUGCGAACGGGUGAGUAACGCGUAGGUAACCUGCCUGGUAGCGGGGGAUAACUAUUGGAAACGAUAGCUAAUACCGCAUAAUAUUGAUUAUUGCAUGAUAAUUGAUUGAAAGCUGCUAUUGCAUCACUACCAGAUGGACCUGCGUUGUAUUAGCUAGUAGGUGAGGUAACGGCUCACCUAGGCGACGAUACAUAGCCGACCUGGAAGGGUGAUCGGCCACACUGGGACUGAGACAAGGCCCAGACUCCUACGGGAGGCAGCAGUAGGGAAUCUUCGGCAAUGGACGAAAGUCUGACCGAGCAACGCCGCGUGAGGGAAGAAGGUUUUCGGAUCGUAAAGCUCUGUUGUAAGAGAAGAACGGGUGUGAGAGUGGAAAGUUCACACUGUGACGGUAUCUUACCAGAAAGGGACGGCUAACUACGUG